rnacentral:rRNA from 1 species
GGACGAACGCUGGCGGCGUGCUUAACACAUGCAAGUCGAACGAGAGGACAAGAGAAGCUUGCUUCUUUUGGAAUCGAGUGGCAAACGGGUGAGUAACACGUAACAACCUGCCUUCAGGAUGGGGACAACAGACGGAAACGACUGCUAAUACCGAAUACGCUUGGGAGACCGCAUGAUCUUCCAAGGAAAGGGUGGCCUCUACUUGUAAGCUAUCGCCUGAAGAGGGGUUUGCGUCUGAUUAGGCAGUUGGUGAGGUAACGGCCCACCAAACCUACGAUCAGUAGCCGGUCUGAGAGGAUGAACGGCCACACUGGAACUGAGACACGGUCCAGACUCCUACGGGAGGCAGCAGUGGGGAAUCUUCCGCAAUGGGCGAAAGCCUGACGGAGCAACGCCGCGUGAGUGAUGACGGCCUUCGGGUUGUAAAGCUCUGUGAUCGGGGACGAACGGUCCGUAAGCUAAUACCUUAUGGAAGUGACGGUACCCGAAUAGCAAGCCACGGCUAACUACGUG